UUGUGACAACAAAAAUUUGCUGGUGGUACUUAAGGUUGUAUGAUUUUAAAUUGGCAGUGCGCAAUCGGUCAGAGUUUGGGAACCACUGAAUUAGGGUAUAAAAGAAAACAUCCGGCAUUCUCAUGGGAGCAGAUAAUGUGCCUGUUUCUUAGCGGUUCUUAUCAGCGC